GAAAAGGUGGACUUCCCACGUGUAGCGGUGAACUGCGUAGAGAUGUGGAGGAACACCAGGUGGCGAAGGCUGGCUUUUUGGUCCUGUAACUGACGCUGAGGCGAGAAAGCGUGGGGAGCAAAACAGGAUUAGAUACCGUGGUAGUCUCACGCUGUAAACGAUGAGUGCUAGGUGUUGGGGGGUUCCACCCUCAGUGCUGAAGUUAACACAUUAAGCACUCCGCCUGGGGAGUACGACCGCAAGGUUGAAACUCAAAGGAAUUGACGGGGGCCCGCACAAGCAGUGGAGCAUGUGGUUUAAUUCGAAGCAACGCGAAGAACCUUACCAGGUCUUGACAUCCUCUGACCACUCUAGAGAUAGAGCUUUCCCCUUCGGGGGACAGAGUGACAGGUGGAGCAUGGUUGUCGUCAGCUCGUGUCGUGAGAUGUUGGGUUAAGUCCCGCAACGAGCGCAACCCUUGACCUUAGUUGCCAGCAUUCAGUUGGGCACUCUAAGGUGACUGCCGGUGACAAACCGGAGGAAGGUGGGGAUGACGUCAAAUCAUCAUGCCCCUUAUGACCUGGGCUACACACGUGCUACAAUGGAUGGUACAAAGGGUUGCGAAGCCGCGAGGCCAAGCCAAUCCCAAAAAGCCAUUCUCAGUUCGGAUUGUAGGCUGCAACUCGCCUACAUGAAGCCGGAAUUGCUAGUAAUCGCGGAUCAGCAUGCCGCGGUGAAUACGUUCCCGGGCCUUGUACACACCGCCCGUCACACCACGAGAGUUUGUAACACCCGAAGUCGG
rnacentral:rRNA from 1 species